rnacentral:lncRNA from 15 species
UACAGUUUAGCAGAACCCACGUAGAACCAAUGUACAAUUCUAAUUAGAAUCCCAGUAGAACCAACUGUACAGUUCAAUAGAAUCCAGUAGAACCACUGUACAAUUCAAUAGAAUCCAGUAGAACCACUGUACAAUUCAAUAGAAACCACUAGAACCACUCUACAGUUUAGCAGAACCCAGUAGAACCAAUGUACAAUUCAAUAGAAUCCAGUAGAACCACUGUACAAUUCAAUAGAAACCACUAGAACCACUCUACAGUUUAGCAGAACCCAGUAGAACCAAUGUACAAUUCAAUAGAAUCCAGUAGAACCACUGUACAGUUCAAUAGAUCCCAGCAGAACCACUGUACAGUUCAAUAGAACUCACCAAUCAUCACUGUCUUCGUCCUUCAGCCUCCAUUGGUGUUUACAAUCUAUCGGCCGCAGUGCACCCUGGGAACUGUAGUCUCACCGGCGCACAAACGUUACAGACGUUCUUUUUUAAAAACAACAGAGCGGUGACACUGAAAUGACGUCAGGGAUCGGCGCCGGAAGUGCGUGUAUUUAUGAAUUUUAAUAAAGUUGUUUUUUUCUGUUUUUCGUAACGAUAGCUCGCGCUCACAGCACCGGAACAUCGGCGGGGUUUACGGACAUUAACGUCCCGGUAGUCCCGGUAGUGAUGACAGAGAGUCCCGACAGCAGCGUCCUGCAGCGGCGGACACACAACGGAGACACCGGACCGACGGUGGUGAAGGUGGAGUCCGGUGUGCCGGUUCUAAUCCCUUCAGAGACCUCUGAGCUUCACUUCCUGCGUGCGAGGGUUCGAGAGCUGGAGAGAGAGCGGGCUGAGCUGUCAGCAGAGAACCAGAGACUGAAGAACAUGCUGGUCCACGAACUCCCGGGGCUUCUGUCCACCAUGUGGCAGACGUUGGGCCAGGCCAACAGUCACCACUGCGUCUCCACGGCAACGGGCAGGAGCGACAGUUACGCUCCGUACUCGCAGCAGCUCUCAACCAGUCAGGACGCAGACCUCAGCCCCCAGGUGAGCCUCCAGCAGCUGCAGGAGGACCUGAACGGGGACAUACUGGAGUCCUGGGGCCCGUUGGGCUCUGAGGACGAGGAGGGGCCAGGAGGAGUAGACCUGGGCCUGGGGAGCCACAUGGGAGAGGAGGCACCGCUCUGCAGACAGACCGACAUGGAGGAGCUGAGGAGGAGCUGCUCUGAGAGCCAGUGUGCCGCCGGACCCCCUAACGGACAUGUGAGCCAGGUGGAGGUGUAUCCGGGCUCUGGGGUUCUCUGUGAAGUCCGCUCAUGGCAGGCAGCCAAUCAGGCGCAGUCCCCCACGGCGAUGGCACGGACGCUGCUGAUGGGCGUGUUUGAUAUGAACACACUGAUGAACAGCAACCUGCGAGGCGGACGGAGCCGCCGACCCGCCUUUCAACCACAACGCAGCGCGCUCGACCCGCACAAGAUCAGCGCCAUCUUCAAUGCCAUCUUGGCUCGGUUUCCUCUGGCCAAGAAAGGAGUCAUUGGCUCUGGCAUCAACUCCAAAUUGUCUGAGAUCCGCUUUCGCUCCAGGAGAGCCAAUCGAGACCCCCGAUUCCUCUGACGACAGACAGACAACUCCUCCUACCUCACAGAAAAAAAUAUCCAGUUGUCCAAUGAGAACACAGCAGUCUGGAGCUUCUGGACCAAUGAGCAGUUUAAGUUCUCUGUUCAGUUUCAGGUCAGGUCUGGUUCACAUAUCUCUGACUUUGUUGCUAUAGAGACCUGUUGGGAAGCUGUGCGUAGCUAUAAUGACCCAGACAUAGAGACAAAACAACCUCAAAGACACAAAACAACCACAAAGAGACACAAAACAACCACAAAGAGACACAAAACAAUCUCAAAGACACUAAACAACCACAAAGAGACACAAAACAACCACAUAGACACAAAACAACCACAAAGAGACACAAAACAACCACAAAGAGACACAAAACAACCACAUAGACACAAAACAACCACAAAGAGACACAAAACAACCACAAAGAGAUACAAAACAGACACAAAGAGACAAAACAACCACAAAGACACAAAACAACCACAAAGACGCUAUAAUGAUCCAGACAUAAUGACAAAGACACUAAACAACCACAAAGAGACUAAACAACCACAGACACUAUAAUGAUCCAGACAUAAUGACAAAGACACUAAACAACCGUAAGACACAAAACAACCACAAAGACACUAAACAACCACAGAGACAAAACAACCACAAAGAGACUAAACAACCACAGAGACUAAACAACCACAAAGACACAAAACAACCACAAAGAGACACAAAACAACCGCAAAGACACAAAACAACCACAAAGAGACUAAACAACCACAAAGAGACUAAACAACCACAAAGACACUAAACAACCACAAAGACACUAUAAUGAUCCAGACAUAAUGACAGACACUAAACAACCACAAAGACAUAAAACAACCACAAAGAGACAAAACAACCACAAAGACAUAAAACAACCACAAAAAGACAAAACAACCACAAAGACACAAAACAACCACAAAGAGACAAAACAACCACAAAGACACAAAACAACCACAAAGAGACUAAACAACCACAAAGACACAAAACAACCACAAAGAAACUAAACAGCCACAGAGAGACUCUAAAUGUAUUUCGUGUGUCCUCAGCUCCUCUAAGUCGGGACAGUCAUGUUUUUGUUGAUUUUGUAUUUUCAUGUGUUACAGAUGUGUUGUGUAUUUUUCUUCCUGUUGGUUCUGUAAAUGAUCAUCAAUAAACAAUAAUACAUGUAACAAUGAACGUCAGUUUGUUUCCUCCUCUUCCUCCUCUUCCUCCUCUCACAGCUUCACACCUCCUCAGGAAUGUGUAUGUGUGUGUGAACCGUCCAUUCAGAACUCCAUUUGAAUAUGAAUCAACUGUUGCGGAGUGGAAAACACCCGACACAAAGACAUUCUCCUUGACAUUCUGCUUCACCUCCUUCUCUCUCUGUCUCCCCCAUCCUACCCCCUCCUCCCCAGUCCUCCCGGCCUGGACUUCCUGAAACAAGGCGUCCUCCUUAAUGAAGACAAUCUGCUAUUCUUUCUGUGUGAAAGACGCUGUGAGGACUCGCUGAGACUGCCAAGGACAGAGACAAAGACACCAGGCUGGGGGAGGAGGGAGGGAGGAGGAGGAGGAGGAGGAGGGAUCAGACCUCUCCUUUCAGACAACAUGGAGGUCUGGACUGAACCCAAUCAUCAGAUCCAGAUCUCCCCAAAGACUGAAGGAGAAACUGUGAGAGAAAGUUUAGAAGAGAGGAAGAGGAGGAGAGAGGAGGUGAGAGGAAGAGGAGAAGCAGGAGGAGGUAAAAGGUCUCACUGUUGAUGUUUUAAAUGAAAACUGAUCCGGUAUCAGCUGUUUGAGGGGCUGCUCCUCUUUAAUGAUUUUUAGGUGAACUAUCUCUUUAAUUAAAUCUCCUUCACAAUAAAAGCAUCCUCUUCCUGGUUGAUUUGUGGUUUAUUAAUCUGGCUCAGUCCAAGACCUGGACCGAGACCAGCCAGCACCUUUCCCAGGACCUCCUCCAUCCAUCACACACGAGGAGGGAGUACUCUGAGCCUGUACUGAAGGAAAAAUACAAAUACUACAGUCUUACAGUACUCAGAGUACUGUAUUUACAUCCUUCCUCAGUGAAAGUACACAAGUAUUAUCAUCUUCAUUAUAGUUAAAUGUAUCCCUGGGGCCAGGAAGCAGAGCUGCUGUCUUACACACUUCUCUGCUCUUUCUUUAGAACAGUCACCCACCCAAAACCCCAUAGAGACUGUGUCUGUCCCCCGACCACCUAAAUUAUUUAAAGAAAUAAAAACAAGAGGAGUUAAACAUAAAAACCUAAUAAAAAUUAAAACCAACUCCUCAGUAGCACAAAAUAAGAGAAUAAAAUGUGGGCUGUUAAAUAUCAGGUCUCUGUCCUCUAAAGCUGUUUUAGUGAAUGAAUUAAUAUCAGAUUAUGAUAUUGAUUUACUUUGUCUUACUGAGACCUGGUUGUCCCACGAGGAGUAUGUUAGCCUAAAUGAAUGCACCCCCCCAGUCAUAUUAAUACUCACAUUCCUCGAGGCACUGGCCAAGGAGGUGGAGUAGCAGCCAUAUAUGAUUCGAGCAUUUUAAUGGACCCUAAACCUAAACUAAAUUAUAAUUCAUUUGAAAGCCUUGUUCUUAGUCUUUCUCACCCAAACUGGAAAACACUGCAGCCAGUUCUAUUUGUUAUAGUGUACCACGCUCCUGGACCGUACUCUGAUUUUAUAUCUGAAUUCUCAGAGUUUUUAUCAAGUUUAGUCCUUAAAUCAGAUAAAGUAAUUAUUGUAGGUGAUUUUAAUAUUCAUGUGGAUGUUAACAAUGACAGCCUUAGUAACACAUUAAUCCCUCUGAAAUUGAUAACCUUGUUGAUAGUGCUGCAGGCUCACUACGAUCAACAUUAGACUCUAUCGCUCAUAUUAAAAGGAAAUUAUUAAAUCAGAGGAAACUAGCACCGUGGUACAACCACCAAACCCGCCAGUUAAAGCAAAAAACAAGGAAGUACGGAAAGGAAAUAGGACACUCUUACUAAAUUAUUAGAAUAUCGCUCAAUUUGGCAUGAUAAUCUUAAAACUUAUAGAAAGGCCCUCCGUAAUGCCAGAGGAGCCUA